rnacentral:rRNA from 1 species
GGGAUGACGUCAAGUCCUCAUGGCCCUUAUGUCUAGGGCUACACACGUGCUACAAUGGGUGGUACAAAGAGCAGCUAACUCGCGAGAGUAUGCAAAUCUCAAAAAGCCAUCCUCAGUUCGGAUUGGAGUCUGCAACUCGACUCCAUGAAGUUGGAAUCGCUAGUAAUCGCGGAUCAGCAUGCCGCGGUGAAUACGUUCCCGGGCCUU